UAUUAGAGGCAAUGCCUGCCCAG
rnacentral:piRNA from 1 species